CUUGAAGCCUAACUAAUGCAGCUGGUAUAUAUGAGCAGUAAACUUCUGAGAGGCUUCGUCUUCGGUGCAUGUACGCUCUCUAUAAAUCCUGCUGAACUUGGCACUUUUCUGUGUUCUCUAAUAAUUAAGGGAUGAUGCUGAACUAGCUUGUUACGUUGUAAUCCUUUUCGAACAUAUAUGAAGAUAUCUAAUGGCUUGCAUUUCCCUUUGUCCCAUUCUAUCUUUUUGAAGUCUUCCAUCCAGACGCAACAUAAUCCAAUCACUCAUGGGUAGGGCUUGGCUCAAAAUUUAGCUCCAAACGUCCUGACGGAUCUUAGACAUGGAACAGCCACUGAAUCAUAUGCUGUUUGCAAAGACAAUAUCUUCCGCAUCUAAGAAUGGGAAUGGUCAGUACCCUCCUUAAUGCCCAUUGUCUUAUUGCAACAAUGAUAACACCAAUGGUUGGCAACGCCCACACAUACCCCACCACAAAGUAGUUUUGAGAUGACUCGAUCAUCCAGCAUGGUGAACUUUGAGAGCAAUCAUUUAUCCAACACAACUACCAGAUGAUUUCAAAGUGAUGAUUUGCAUUAAAACAGGUUCCAUUAAAAAUAAAAAUCUUGUGCAUUGCUUGGAGUAUAAUCA
rnacentral:lncRNA from 1 species